AACUCUUUAUUAAAAUAUAACUUCUAAUUAUAUUAAAGUAUAAAUAUACUAAGAGUUU
rnacentral:tRNA from 2 species